AUUGUGAUGUAUGUUGAAGUAAUAAGAAAGACAACGGUUAACAUCAAAAUUAAAAAAAUGUGGCGAAAUAUCUCCAUCCUUUCCUACGUGGAAUGUCAACGCAAAUUUGAUAUAUGGACCUUUAACAUCUAAUCAGGUGUGUGGAUUAUCAAAAGAUGGUUGAUAGUAUUGCGUGAUCGGAUGGAGAAGCAGUUGAAGCAGAUGCUGAACAAUCUUUUGAAUCUUUACAAUCUUCAUGGUGAUCAUGAAAGGUACAUACAUUUCUUGUUAUGUUAAAAGAGGUGAAAUCAAAAUGACAGAUAAAUUUAUCUUCAUUCUAUAUAUAUUACUUCAAUCCACUAUUCAUUCAAGCCAUCUAAUUCAUUAACUUUAUAUAUUUUAAAAACUUGCUUUCUUUUUUGAUGAUUUUAGUUGUUCAGAGAGAGCUUGAUUAAUUCAAGGAUACUAUAUGGAACUUACACCGAAUCAGCUAUCAACGAGAUAUUUUGAUGCCUGAUGGCAUACCUGAUUAUAUUUAUAAGUUUCCCGAAAAAUAUGCUUUAACUGAGUGUGCCGGUGCAUUUUAUGCAAAAA